rnacentral:ncRNA from 1 species
GUCCGGGGACGACCCCAGGACUUCUUACAACUGCGGGACGGCCCGC